UACAGAGGGGGCAAGCGUUGUCCGGAUUUACUGGGCGUACAGCGCGCGCAGGCGGUUGCGUAUGUGAGCGGUGACAUCCGCGGGCUCAACCCGCGGCGGCCCGCUUACACAGCGCGACUGGAGGCAGGGAGAGGGAUGUGGAAUACCCGGUGUAGCGGUGAAAUGCGCAGAUAUCAGGAGGAACACCAAUGGCGAAGGCAGCUCGCUGGGACGUGACUGACGC
rnacentral:rRNA from 1 species